rnacentral:ncRNA from 1 species
GAAACCUCAUCUUGCUCAAGCGCCAUCCGGGCGCCAGAGCAGUGUUUUUUAUAAAACACGGAAUUCCGUCCGGGUGAGGAGAGAGU